GCAGGUGACUUGUUUGACAUCGGUUUGGCAGGUGCCGAGGGAGGAGUUGUGCAGGGUGAUGGAGGACGGCGCUGUCAGCAGGUGGCGGGCGAGCCUCAAGAUGGCAACCGUAUCUGAUGGAGGCCAGGCAGGUGCCGCACGCAGGCUUCGGAGGGGAGACGCCGCAUGGCGACGAGAGGUCCGAGAGGUUGUGCGCCGGCUGCCCUUGGGCCUGGAUGCGCGUUUGAGGGGCCGCAGGGGAUGGCGUUCGUCCUCGUCCGGAAUGGGCACGGAGCAGCCGGGUGAGCG